AUUGAACGCUGGCGGCAGGCCUAACACAUGCAAGUCGAGCGGAUGAGGGAAGCUUGCUUCCCGAUUUAGCGGCGGACGGGUGAGUAGUGCCUAGGAAUCUGCCUAUUAGUGGGGGAUAACGUUCCGAAAGGAACGCUAAUAACGCAUACGCCCUACGGGGGAAAGCAGGGGAUCUUCGGACCUUGCGCUAAUAGAUGAGCCUAAGUCGGAUUAGGUAGUUGGUGGGGUAAAGGCCGACCAAGGCGACGAUCUGUAGCGGGUCUGAGAGGAUGAUCCGCCACACUGGGACUGAGACACGGCCCAGACUCCUACGGGAGGCAGCAGUGGGGAAUAUUGGACAAUGGGCGGAAGCCUGAUCCAGCCAUGCCGCGUGUGUGAAGAAGGCCUUUUGGUUGUAAAGCACUUUAAGCGAGGAGGAGGCUCUUAAGGUUAAUACCCUUGAUGAGUGGACGUUACUCGCAGAAUAAGCACCGGCUAACUCUGUGCCAGCCGCCGCGGUAA
rnacentral:rRNA from 1 species